AUGGAUGGAAAUACUGCAGCUUUCUGGACUGCAUACCCUGCUCCCUGGAGAGGUUCCACCCACCGGCUGGAAGGAGAGGAAGUGAAUGAAAGGACAGGAGGAGCCCGAACACCAUGUCACUCUGGAAGGGAGACAGCAGCAACCAGGCUGUGCAAGGUUGUUUUGUUUUGUUUUCUUUUCCCCUUUCUCUUCUUUUUUUUUUUCUUUUUCAUUUUUUUGUUUUCUUUCUUUCUUUCUUCUUUCUUUUUUUCCCUUUUUCUUUAAGGUGGGGAAAGAGACAAACAGGAGACAGGAAGCUGAUCUGCAAGGAUUCAGAGUUGUGCUAAAAAGACUUUGAUUUUUUUCUUCUCUCCCUCUUUACAAACGCUGGCAAUUGACAUCACUACAGACAGCCUGGGUAGAGAACAAAGUGCCUCAUCCCAAGUGGACCCUGGCAGCUGGGGGAAGGAAGGCAGGAUCUGGGAAGGCUGUGUGUGUGUGUGUGUGUGUGUGCCGUGUGUGUGCUGUGUUGUUCUACCAAUACCUUUCCUUUUUUCUUUCUUCUUUCUUUCUUCUUUCUUUCUUUCUUCUUUCUUUCUUUCUUCUUUUUUUUUUUUUUUUUUUUUUUGGUGUGUUUCUUUUUUAAAUUCCUGCCGUGUUGGAACUAGUGAGUGGUGGAAGACGAAGGAUCUCUGAAGCCUCAUCAGUCAUCGGGACCAUCAGGAAUAGUGGUUUAAGAGGACGCUCGGCCUGGGGCACUAUACCUGUCAUCGAGUUCCCUGCCUCGGAGAUAAAGAUUCCAGCUACAUGGGUAAACGCCUGGAUCAGCCACAAAUGUACCCCCAGUACACUUACUACUAUCCUCACUGUCUCUAAACCAAGGUAUGGCUCGACCCACAGUCUGGCAAGCAGUGUGUAUCCUGCACUUGGGAUGGGAAACAGGCAUGUGGAUUAUUAUUUACCUCCCCUUUCCCAUCACCUCUUCCUGCUUCUUUGAAAUUAGUAACAUAGCAAUGGAGUUAAUAAGGCAGAGGAGAAUAUGAGAAGAAAGCAAGCCCUGGGAUUGUGGUUUUUCUCUUCUAGCAGAGAUAAUAGUUUCGCUCGUGUUCCUUUGUUGUUAUUUGGCAACAUAAAGAUGUUCCUGAUAUCCGUAGUAAAGUGCUUUGCAGAUGGACAGGGUUGUUAGAAAGGAGAUUGUGACAGUGAUUAUCAGGAACAACAACGAUUUCAGAGGCUUUUCUGGUGAGCUGUUCUUUGUGGCUCUGAAAGGGUUUUUCUCACUGGAUAGGAUGCACCAGGGUGGGGGCAACUCAGACUUUCAAUCACAGAGUAUAGAAUGAAAGAAGGGUGUGGGAAGGUAUAGUACGACUAACUGACGUCCCGUAGAGUUUGUUUGGGUGUGCUUUUGUUUUUGUGUAUUUGCCUUACAUAUUUUAUUUUAUAUGGAGGGUGAUCAAGACUCUAGAGACUGAAGUUUGGAGCUUUACAAUAGAUGUUCUUUACUUUUCGAAGCUCUGUUUUUCUGUGCUGGCUGCCAUCAGGAGGCCUGUGGGUCUUGAAACGGGAUGAAAUAUAACUGAUGAUAAUUGGACACGAAUUGGUUAAAUACUUUAGUCUUGGGAUCCCUGGGUGGCGCAGUGGUUUGGCGCCUGCCUUUGGCCCAGGGCGUGAUCCUGGAGACCUGGGAUCGAAUCCCACGUGGGCUCCCGGUGCAUGGAGCCUGCUUCUCCCUCUGCCUAUGUCUCUGCCUCUCUCUGUGUGUGACUAUCAUAAAUAAAUAAAAAAAAUUAAAAAAAUUUUUUAAUACUUUAGUCUUUAUGUGUGUGCGUAAAUGACCAUUACGGGGCCAGUGGAAAGCCCACGUAACUAAGCAGUGGGCAGUGCCAACCAUGAACUUGAUCCUGCAGUUCAGACCUGAAAGGCUCUCAGGUGUGAAAUCACUGCUCCAAUUUGUCAGUUAAAUUGGACUUGAUGAGUUGGGGGGGAGGGUGUCGGUAGAGUUAUCGCUUUGAAUGUAUGGGUUAUGUUUCUUUACAGGUGAUAUUAAUUUUGUAUCGCAUUAGCCAGACUCCAC
rnacentral:lncRNA from 1 species